GGCGGGGCUGGAGGACCAACAAUGCUAGUUGUGGCUGGAGAACCUUAAAAAGUUAAUUGUCUGUUGCUCACACUCCCUGCCGGGUCUACUACAGCAUGUACCCGCCUGUUUGCUAUGAGUUAGGUUUUAUGUGCAAGUAUCGAGUUUAGCGUUGUGAAGGCACCACCAUAUGUUCUCCAAAUGAGAAGACGCCUCCAACUGCAUAUGCACUUUGCUUGCAGCCUGAGGAAGACUGUUGCAGCGACAAGUGUUUGGUGCCCUGAGAAAGACAAGCUCCAUUUGGAGCACAACAGCAGAGCCAUGCAGCCUGAACUGGUGCCAACAGCCUGGAGAGACAAAGCAGCCACCCCAGAUCCUUGAGUCUAUAAUGAAGCUAAAUUUUGUUCUGGAGGAAAUGGAGACAAAAGGCAAGUCCUAAGGAAAUGAGUAACUGCACCCUAAAAUGCAAUCAAGGAAAGUUAUACGAAGUUAGAUGGAGAGUACUAGUGCUCUUUUGUCUUGGCAAUCUGGUAACAGUUGGGAACAGUUGAACAGCAUAUUCUAUGCCCAUUUCCCCCUGACCCUGCAAUAAUUUUAUUUUUAUUAUUAUUUCUUGUUUACACAGUCAGGCAGGUGUUAUUGACUAGUUUGUUUUAUCCUUCCCAAGGACCUGGAUGGCUGAAUUUUAUUUUCAAUAUUGUUGUUAUUAUUAUAGAUAUGAUCACAAAAUAUAGGCUGUUCCCAGUAAAGUUGCUUUUUGUAAUUGGCUGAUGGUGAUUUCUGUGGCCCCUAUGGUGCUGAGGUGCUCUUCAAGAUGUUUUGGAAUCGCACCUAGGAUGCCAGUUAUCACUGGGAUUAUUUUGGUCUUCUUCUGCCACAGCCUUUCAAUUUCAGUUUGUAGAUCUUUGUAUUUUGUUAUUUUUUCUAUUUCUUUUUCUUCUAUUCUGCUAUCCCCUGGUAUUGCUAUGUAGAUUAUUUUAACCUGUUUUUCUUUCUUCUCGACUACAGUUGUUGUUGUUGUUGUUGUUAAUAAUAAUAAUAAUAAUAAUAAU